CCUACGGGAGGCAGCAGUGGGGAAUAUUGGGCAAUGGAGGCAACUCUGACCCAGCAACGCCGCGUGAAUGAUGAAGGUCUUCGGAUUGUAAAGUUCUUUUCUAAGGGAAGAAGAAAGUGACGGUACCUUAGGAAUAAGCCUCGGCUAACUACGUGCCAGCAGCCGCGGUAAUACGUAGGAGGCAAGCGUUAUCCGGAAUGACUGGGCGUAAAGGGUGCGUAGGUGGUUUGACAAGUUAGUAGCGAAACUCCGGGGCUCAACUUCGGAACUACUACUAAAACUGGUGGACUUGAGUGCAGGAGGGGCAAUCGGAAUUCCUAGUGUAGCGGUGGAAGGCGUAGAUAUUAGGAGGAACACCAGUGGCGAAGGCGGAUUGCUGGACUGUAACUGACGCUGAGGCACGAAAGCGUGGGGAGCAAACAGGAUUAGAUACCCGGGUAGUC
rnacentral:rRNA from 1 species